CAGUAGCCACGGGAAUACGGAGGGUGCAAGCGUUAAUCGGAAUUACUGGGCGUAAAGCGCACGCAGGCGGUCUGACAAGUCAGAUGUGAAAUCCCCGGGCUUAACCUGGGAACUGCAUUUGAAACUGUUAGGCUGGAGUCUUGUAGAGGGGGGUGGAAUUCCAGGUGUAGCGGUGAAAUGCGUAGAGAUCUGGAGGAAUACCGGUGGCGAAGGCGGCCCCCUGGACAAAGACUGACGCUCAGGUGCGAAAGCGUGGGGAGCAAACAGGAUUAGAUACCCCUGUAGUCCCUGUCUCUUAUAC
rnacentral:rRNA from 1 species